UACAGAGGUCUCAAGCGUUGUUCGGAUUCAUUGGGCGUAAAGGGUGCGUAGGCGGCGCGGUAAGUCGGGUGUGAAAUCCCGGGGCUCAACCCCGGAACUGCAUUCGAUACUGCCUUGCUAGAGUGCUGGAGAGGAGAUUGGAAUUUACGGUGUAGCAGUGAAAUGCGUAGAUAUCGUAAGGAAGACCAGUGGCGAAGGCGGAUCUCUGGACAGCUACUGACACUGAGGCACGAAGGCCAGGGGAGCAAACGGG
rnacentral:rRNA from 1 species